UCUUCCCUCUUUCUUCGUGCCUAAUACAUGCAAGUCGAGCGAACGGACGAGAAGCUUGCUUUUCUGAUGUUAGCGGCGGACGGGUGAGUAACACGUGGAUAACCUACCUAUAAGACUGGGAUAACUUCGGGAAACCGGAGCUAAUACCGGAUAAUAUUUUGAACCGCAUGGUUCAAAAGUGAAAGACGGUCUUGCUGUCACUUAUAGAUGGAUCCGCGCUGCAUUAGCUAGUUGGUAAGGUAACGGCUUACCAAGGCAACGAUGCAUAGCCGACCUGAGAGGGUGAUCGGCCACACUGGAACUGAGACACGGUCCAGACUCCUACGGGAGGCAGCAGUAGGGAAGCUUCCGCAAUGGGCGAAAGCCUGACGGAGCAACGCCGCGUGAGUGAUGAAGGUCUUCGGAUCGUAAAACUCUGUUAUUAGGGAAGAACAUAUGUGUAAGUAACUGUGCACAUCUUGACGGUACCUAAUCAGAAAGCCACGGCUAACUACGUG
rnacentral:rRNA from 1 species